rnacentral:rRNA from 1 species
UGGGGAAUAUUGCGCAAUGGGCGAAAGCCUGACGCAGCGACGCCGCGUGGGUGAUGAAGGCCUUCGGGUCGUAAAGCCCUGUCAGGAGGGACGAAACCUCGGCAGGUUAAUAUCCUGUCCACUUGACGGUACCUCCUAAGGAAGCCCCGGCUAACUCCGUGCCAGCAGCCGCGGUAAUACGGAGGGGGCGAGCGUUGUUCGGAAUUACUGGGCGUAAAGCGCGUGUAGGCGGCCUUGUAAGUCUGGUGUGAAAGCCCGGGGCUCACCCCCGGAAGUGCAUUGGAUACUGCAAGGCUCGAGUACCGGAGAGGAGGGUGGAAUUCCUGGUGUAGCGGUGAAAUGCGUAGAUAUCAGGAGGAACACCGGUGGCGAAGGCGGCCCUCUGGACGGAUACUGACGCUGAGACGCGAAAGCGUGGGGAGCAA